ACCCAGAGUGGAGCGGCUCGCCCUGCCUGCGGAUGACGUCCACCAGGAUGUCAAUCACGAUGAUGGUGCCCGUGCAUCCGAUGCCCCCACUGAGGACAAACUAGGCGGCCUUUGACGAGAGUGGGGGGCGGGGGCGGGGGCGCCCCCGCCCACCCGAUGGCUCCGCCCUCGUCGUCCCGCGUGGCCCCGCCCCGCCGCACCUGCACCUGCACAGCCCGCGUGGCCCCGCCCCGCCGCACCUGCAUCUGCACAGCCCGCGUGGGCCCGCCCCGCCGCAGCUGAAGUGCACCACCAUGGGCCCGGCCCGCGGCUUGCUGCUCUGGGCCCGGUUCACCUCGUCCCGGAAGCCGAGGACGCCGGCGGGAUCGGCCCGGACGCCGUAGUCCGGCCAGCCGAAGUACUGGAAGUGCUGCACCGUACGCUGUGGCUCCUCCUGAGCGGGGCAAGCGGGAAGGAUGUUCUUGUAGUGAUUCUUGGGCUUGUUCUCCACACUCUGCCCCUCCUUCCGAGGGUACAGGAACCGGCAUUCCUGCUGCUGCAGCAUCUGGAGGUGAUGGAGCCUUCAGCUCACAGCCCCGGCCCCUUCCCAGAGCCCGAGAUGGCCACCCCCAGCCCGUCCCGUGUGGGCGGAAGAGUACCUAGGUGCCGAGGCAAGAGACUGAAGGCACAAACUGUUUCAGUAUAAUAAAGAAAAUAGAAUAAGAAUAGUCAUAAUACAAAUUAGAUACAGCGAUGAUCAUGAACAAUUAUCCAUCAUUAUUAUAAACAUUAUUAAUCAUUAGCUUUUAAUAUUACUCUGUUGCAUUAAUAAUAUAACCUAGGAAUAACCGGCAGGUAUAGGGUCAGGUGCUGAAGGGACAUUGUGAGAAGUGAAUAGAAGGCAAGAGGGGAGCCUUCUGUCAUGCCCGCAUAAGGGCCGCUUGAGGGCCCCUUGGUCAAGCGGUAACGCCAGUGUCUGGGAAGGCACCCGUUACUGAGCAGACCGGGAAAGGGAGUCUCCUUUCCUUGGAGGAGUCAGGGAACGCUCUGCUCCACCAGCUUCUUGUGGGAGGCUGGAUGUUACCCAGGCCUGCCUGCAGUCAUCCGGAGGCCUGAACCCCUCCCUGUGGUGCUUCAAUGGUCACGUUCCUUGUCCACUUUCAUGCUCCUUCCGUACUCCUGGUUCCUCUUUGAAGUUCGUAGUAGAUAGCGGUAGAAGAAAUAGUGAAAGUCUUAAAGUCUUUGAUCUUAUAAGUUCAUAGAAGAAAACGCUGAUGCCUGCCGCCUUCUCUCUCUGCUUCAGCUACCUAAGAGGGAAGGGCCCGCUGUCCUGUGAUCACGUGACUUGCUUCACCUUGUCAAUCACUUAGAAGACUGACCCUCCUUAUCCUGCCCCCUUGUCUUGUAUGCAAUAAAUAUCAGCGAGCCCAGCCGUUCAGGGCCACUACCGGUCUCCGUGUCUUUGUGGUAGUGGUCCCCGGGGCCCAGCUGUUUUCUCUU
rnacentral:lncRNA from 10 species